AAACCCUUCAUAUUUUGAUCGAAGAAAUUCUGCAUAUAGCUCUGCAAAUUCUAAUUUUCCUAUAUUACAACAAAGAAAUAGAACUUUAAUUAAUUCAAAAAUUCCUCGAGAUGAAUCAUCAUCUAAAACUCCGAAUAUUGGUUCUUUUGUACAUUUAGAAGAUAUUCCUGAAAAUCAUCCAUUAUACAAACAACUGCAAUCUUAUCUAUCAGAUCAACAAAAAACUGCAG
rnacentral:lncRNA from 1 species